GAUGUACUCCCUCAGUCCGCAAAUACUUGUCAUCAAAAUGGAUAAAAGGAGAUGUAUCUAGAUGUAUUUUAGUUCUAGAUACAUCCCUUUUUAUCCAUUUUGAUGACAAGUAUUUUCGGACGGAGGGAGUAUAUU
rfam:Triticum aestivum genome assembly, contig: Triticum_aestivum_CS42_TGACv1_scaffold_224620_3B